UAUACAGGUAACGAGCUGAGAUUAGGAGCACUCCUUUUAAAAGAAAGUGCUCCUAAUCUCAGCUCGUUACCUGUAUA